rnacentral:lncRNA from 1 species
CACCCUGCACAAUUGCACAAAGGCCCCUCAACAAUAUUAGUUGUGCACAGCCCAAACUGGGCCAUUUUCGGGUGCUGGGACCGGUCUCUGGACUUGAGGGACCGGUCCCCGAAGGUCCAGAAAAACAGCAUUUAGGACUUAGCCAAAUUUUCAGCUUUUUCACCGUUUUCGCUCCGUUUUCGCCCGUUUUCGCUCGUUUGACCUCCGAUUCGUUUCAAAUCGAACGGAGACUCUCCCAACAUGUUUUCAAACAUGUUUUCACCAUCUUUUCAUCCAUGCUAAUGCUGGAUUUAAUCCAUGGACCAACAUAGCCUUUCGGGUUCCGUUUCCGCGCCUACGCGCACCGAAUCGCCCGAAUGCUCCCGAACUUCACCGAACUUCACCGGAACCUUUCCAAUGGCUCUCCAAUCAAAUGUACACCGUAACUUCAUGAUUUUAGAAGUUCGGUACCUUACAGGAACAACAUUAGACAACUCAGUUGCGCCCAAACAGUAUAACUUUGCAACGAGUACUUUUUCUCAAUCUAUCGAACAAAGAGUAAAACCUAUUUAUAUUGUUCUAUUAUGCACCGAGAGUGUAAAUUUGGAACGAAUCGAUGUCAACGUUCACAUGAACCCAGGAACAACAUUAGACUACUCAGUUGCGCCCUAACAGUAUAACUUUGCAAUGAGUACUUUUUUUCAUUCUAUCGAACAAAGCGUAAAACCUAAUUAUAUUGUUCUAUUAUGCCCAGAGAGUGU